GAUAGGCAAUCCCCUGUGGGGUUGGGCCCCCACCGAAAUUGUCUCACGCCACCAAAACGCAAAUUUCCAAUUGUCGGCGAAUUUUUUUCCGAUAGGCUAAAGCUCAUGCAACGCGUGGUUAGGGUUUACAUUCCACAUGUGGUGUAGAUUGGUGUGGCUAUUUUCAUCCCGAGUCAUAUUGCUGGCAAUGACCGCUUGAAUCAUUUGGAUAUAGUUGCGGUAGGUUUCCCAAUUCAGAUCGAUAGGCCAGGGGGGGGACAUUUAGGGUUUAUUUUGUAACCAAUCUAUUCUUCUCGAGCGAGUAACUAUCUACCUCUGUCUUCUUUACCUCAUCAUUGCCUGGCAUCCAUCGAGUAUUGCUUGUGUGUAGCUUCAUCUUUGGUGCAGAGGACGGGACAAAGCACAAAAUCCAUAUCAGACUCUUCCAGUCAACAAUCAUCACCGAAAUUGUCUCACGCCGCCAAAUUGUUACUUUCCCGUUGCCGCCAAAAAAUUUCCCGAAAGGCUUUCUGCUACAGCUCCGCGUGGUUAGGGUUUACACUCCAGCUGUGAUGGACAUUGAUGUGGUUGCCUGCAUGCGGGUUGCAUUUUCAUUCCGAGGUGUAUUGCUGGCAACAACCGCCUGAACCCAUCUACCGGAUCAAGAUAAGAAUCCACUGGUUAAUGUACUGAUGACUGAACAUAGUCGACUCCCCAGGAAUUUAUCUCCAACAAAGCUGAGCGAACGCGACUCCCCCUCACU